CCCGGUUCUUCUCUUGUCUACGUGGAGCCACCGAGGGACAAUUCGAGCAGAAACAUGGUUGCUCUGUCUGGGACUCUGGGAAGCAGAGUCCGAUCCCCUACCCUGGCCUUGCGGCUCAGGUCUAGAAAUCAUAGUGCUCUCCCAAACUUCAAGAGGUCCUGCAGCGGCCCCCUGGGCUCCAUCCCAGGCCUUGGUUUUCAGAGGCAGCUGGUGCAGUGGAAAGAGAAGCAGCAGGGGGAUCGGCUGGACCACUCACUAGCGUGUGGACAACACCUCCCUACCUCCAUCUGUGAAAUGGGCAUGAAGACCCCCACCCCCACAGUAUUGCUGCAGGAAUCGGCAAAACCCCGCAGCCCCGUGCUGGCGCCUAGCCAGCCUUCGUAAGGGAACUCCUGCCCUCUGGAAAGAACCGUGUCAUUAAGGAAUUUCCCAGCUGGGCAUCAGCUUCCCUUUUACUUUAUUGCUAGAGCCCCUCCUCCUCCCAUCCUUUUGUUUGCCCCUACCCUUGGUCUCUCCCUCCCUGUGGAUUCCCCACUCCCCCCUAUCAGCUGGGCACAGA